rnacentral:lncRNA from 1 species
AUGUUGUAGCUGAUGCGUUAAGUAGGAAGGAAGUCGGGAAUUGUGCGAGUGUCGUAGUAGAAUCACUGGAUGUUCAAGAAGAAAGAUUUGGAGUGGGGUUUGAUAUGCAAAAGAAGGAUGAGAGCUUACUGUGUCAGAUUAAGGUCAAACCGAUGUUUUUAGAAAAGUUAAAGGCAAGUCAGAUUCAAGAUGAACGAUUAAAGGAAAUUCUGAAUAAUUCUAAUUCAGAGUCGGGAAAGAAAGAUUUUAGGAAAGGAAACGAC